rnacentral:rRNA from 1 species
AGCUCCAAUAGCGUAUAUUAAAGUUGUUGCAGUUAAAAAGCUCGUAGUUGGAUUUCUGGUGGGAGCGUUGGGCCGGCCCUAAGGGUCUGAGCUCAAAUGUUUUCCGCCAUCCUUGGAGGGAUGUUGUCUGGCAUUAAGUUGUCGGGCUUCCGAUCUCCAUCGUUUACUGUGAAAAAAUUAGAGUGUUCAAAGCAGGCUUAUGCCGUUGAAUACAUUAGCAUGGAAUAAUAAGAUAGGACCUUGGUACUAUUUUGUUGGUUUGCGUACCUAGGUAAUGAUUAAUAGGGACAGUUGGGGAUAUUACUAUUUCGUUGUCAGAGGUGAAAUUCUUGGAUUUACGAAAGAGUAACUACUGCGAAAGCAUUUAUCAAGGAUGUUUUCAUUA